rnacentral:pre_miRNA from 1 species
UGGACAGAUUACUGUAUUCACGGCGUGAAACAGAGGAUUACACUGUUUUAAAACGAAAAGUGUAUCAAUUAACAUAAUAGACUACU